GAUCAGUGAAGAACCUAUCCCAAACCUGAUUGCUUGAUAAAAACAAGUGUGAAGCUCACUUCUGAGUU
rnacentral:snoRNA from 1 species